AACGAACGCUGGCGGCAGGCCUAACACAUGCAAGUCGAGCGGGACCUUCGGGUCUAGCGGCGGACGGGUUAGUAACGCGUGGGAACGUGCCCAAAGGUACGGAAUAGCCUCGGGAAACUGAGAGUAAUACCGUAUGUGCCCCUCGGGGGAAAGAUUUAUCGCCUUUGGAUCGGCCCGCGUUGGAUUAGGUAGUUGGUGGGGUAAUGGCCUACCAAGCCGACGAUCCAUAGCUGGUUUGAGAGGAUGAUCAGCAACACUGGGACUGAGACACGGCCCAGACUCCUACGGGAGGCAGCAGUGGGGAAUCUUAGACAAUGGGGGAAACCCGUGAUCCAGCCAUGCCGCGUGUGUGAAGAAGGCCUCG
rnacentral:rRNA from 1 species